rnacentral:rRNA from 1 species
UACGUAGGGCGCAAGCGUUGUCCGGAAUUAUUGGGCGUAAAGAGCUCGUAGGCGGUCUGUCGCGUCCGUUGUGAAAACUCGAGGCUCAACCUCGGGCUUGCAGUGGAUACGGGCGGACUGGAGUUCGGCAGGGGAGACUGGAAUUCCUGGUGUAGCGGUGAAAUGCGCAGAUAUCAGGAGGAACACCGGUGGCGAAGGCGGAUCUCUGGGCCGUAACUGACGCUGAGGAGCGAAAGCAUGGGGAGCGAACAGG